rnacentral:ncRNA from 2 species
UUUCAUCGUUUGGGAACAGGUACGUUAAGUCACAUGAUAGACUUAAUGUUUAAAAGGGAAUCCGGUGCAAAUCCGGAGCGGUCCCGCCACUGUCAUAGCUGAGUUGUAACGAUAUUGUCACUGACCGUUCAUUGGUUGGGAAGACUGUUGCAAUGUUGACGCUAGAGCCAGGAGACCUGCCUGUUCUAACAGCACUGC